GGAUCAAUGAUGAGUCUCCUGUCAAAGCAUUCCUUGGAAAAGCUGAACAAAAUGAGUGAAACUCACUACUGUCUUGCUCAUCGGAAUUGAGGUUC
ensembl:snoRNA SNORD116 Small nucleolar RNA SNORD116